UACGUAGGGGGCAAGCGUUGUCCGGAAUUAUUGGGCGUAAAGAGCGUGUAGGCGGUUCGGUAAGUCGGCUGUGAAAGCCCAGGGCUCAACCCUGGGAUGCCGGUCGAUACUGCCGGACUAGAGUUCGGAAGAGGCGAGUGGAAUUCCCGGUGUAGCGGUGAAAUGCGCAGAUAUCGGGAGGAACACCUAUGGCGAAGGCAGCUCGCUGGGACGUUACUGACGCUGAGACGCGAAAGCGUGGGGAGCAAACAGG
rnacentral:rRNA from 1 species